rnacentral:tRNA from 2 species
UGGGAUAUAGCCAAGUGGUAAGGCAAGGGUCUUUGACUCCCUCAUUCGUGCGUUCGAGUCGCACUAUCCCAACCA